rnacentral:rRNA from 1 species
UACGUAGGGGGCAAGCGUUGUCCGGAUUUAUUGGGUUUAAAGGGUGCGUAGGCGGCCCUGUAAGUCAGUGGUGAAAUACUCUAGCUUAACUAGAGGGGUGCCAUUGAUACUGCAGGGCUUGAGUACAGACGAGGUAGGCGGAAUUGACGGUGUAGCGGUGAAAUGCAUAGAUAUCGUCAAGAACUCCGAUAGUGAAGACAGCUUACUAGGCUGUAACUGACGCUGAGGCACGAAAGUGUGGGGAUCAAACAGG